rnacentral:rRNA from 1 species
UACAGAGGGUGCAAACGUUGCUCGGAAUGAUUGGGCGUAAAGCGCGUGCAGGCGGUUGAUUAUGCCGGUUGUGAAAGCCCGUGGCUCAACCACGGAAGUGCAGUCGGAACUGAUCGACUAGAGUGCCGAAGAGGGUGGCGGAAUGCCCAGUGUAGAGGUGAAAUUCGUAGAUAUUGGGUAGAACACCGGUGGCGAAGGCGGCCACCUGGGAGGUCACUGACGCUGAGACGCGAAAGCGUGGGGAGCAAAC